rnacentral:rRNA from 1 species
AACGAACGCUGGCGGCAUGCCUAACACAUGCAAGUCGAACGAGACCUUCGGGUCUAGUGGCGCACGGGUGCGUAACGCGUGGGAAUCUGCCCUGGGGUUCGGAAUAACAGUUAGAAAUGACUGCUAAUACCGGAUGAUGACUUCGGUCCAAAGAUUUAUCGCCCAGGGAUGAGCCCGCGUAGGAUUAGCUUGUUGGUGAGGUAAAAGCUCACCAAGGCGACGAUCCUUAGCUGGUCUGAGAGGAUGAUCAGCCACACUGGGACUGAGACACGGCCCAGACUCCUACGGGAGGCAGCAGGGGGGAAUAUUGGACAAUGGGCGAAAGCCUGAUCCAGCAAUGCCGCGUGAGUGAUGAAGGCCUUAGGGUUGUAAAGCUCUUUUACCCGGGAUGAUAAUGACAGUACCGGGAGAAUAAGCCCCGGCUAACUCCGUGCCAGCCGCCGCCGUAAAAC